AUGAAAGUUUCCAAAAUUGUCACCAUCAUACUGAAGAGAACGAGAGAGAAAAUGCAUAAGAAAUGGCUUACUCGGUGGCAUCCUUCUAUGCCAGUGGUUCCCAACCUUUUUUUGAUCAAGGCCCACUUGACCAGGGCCUCCUUUGACCAGGGACCACUAUCCAACAUUGGUACCAAAAGGGUUACGGUUUUUGGUCAACUUUAUAUUCAGUUUGGUUAUUUGGGGUGCUGAUUCAGAAAACUGCAUUGCAUAGACUACAUCAGCUCUAGUUUCUGAUACAGAACAUACGCCAUCCAGUAGUCACCAUCUGCUUGCCCACAGAAAACCAUAUUUAAUAAUCUAGAACUGAUGUGGUCUAUCUAAUGCAGUGGUUAGCUCUGUGGAAAGGAGUGGAAAUAAAAUAAAUUAAUAAAUAAAGAGGUAGGAGGUUCGCAGACCAGAUUUUCAUUCUCGCGGCCCACUGCUGGGCUGUGGCCCACAGGUUGAGAACCACAGAAUAGAAUAAUUUAUAUAUAUAGUUUAUAAACUAGGAGUUAAUCACACAAGAUAGACAAAUCACAAUUACAGCAGGAGAACAGAGUCUAUGUCCUGGACUUAUUACAUGAUAUUACUUCUUUCCAUCUCUUUCCAUUGUGAGACCAUUGGAAGAUGUUUCUUUUACAGACUAUCACAUGAGGCUGGUAAAUCACAAUUACAGCAAGAUGUUUGUAGUUAUCAGAGGAUGCCAUAACUCUUUUGUUGCGGCUUUGCAUUUCAAUUGUUAGUGGAGCACUUUUUUCAUUGAUGAGGGAAACCUACCAAUGACUCCCAACAUUGUGACUGUUAGAAUGAAUCCCUACUGGAUUCCUUCUGGUAGUUACGUGAUGUGAAUGGUCAUUAUUUUCUUCCUUUCCUCUUCACAAUGUCUUUUAUAGACCCUUUCUUCUGUUUUUUAAUCAUUUUGACAAAAUUGUGCAAUCACUGCAAAAAUAAAUUAAAAAUCGAAAAGCACAUAUGUGCUGGGUAGGCUAUACAUAGGCAAGAAAACAGGGUUAGUGAGGUGGUGUAUAAGAGUGACUGUGAGACUAUGCAUGAGAAAUGUGAUAGUGAUUAAUGUGUUGUCGAAGGCUUUCAUGGCAGGAAUUACUGGGCUGCUGUGAGUUUUCUGAGCUGUAUGGCCAUUUCCAGAAGCAUUCUCUCCUGAUGCUUCAUCCACAUCUAUGGCAGGCAUCCCCAGAGGUUGUGAGGCCUGCUGGAAACUAGGCAAGUGGGAUUUAUAUAUUUGUGGAAAGUCCAGGGUGGGAGAAAAAAACCUCUUUCUUGUUUGAGGCAAAUGUGAAUGUUGCAAUUGGCCACCUUGAUUAGCAUUGAAAAGCCUUGCAGAGAUAGUGAUAGUGAUUGUUUCAAUACCAGUAUGUUUCCAUGUGCUUCAACAGUGUGAUUUCUGUGAGCCGACAGGUUGAUAUGAUAAAGUCCUCCAAAAGGAGGUCAUUAAGGCUGUUUUUUUUAUCAGGAGAGCAGUGGGGAUAAGAAAUAACAGUGUAUUUGCAUAGUGAUAAAUAUGCUGUUGUCCUGUUGUAAUGGUGAUUUGCCUGCUUUGUGUGAAAAAGUAAUUAUUUCAGUUAAUUACAUUAUUAAAUUAUUAAUUUGAUGUCAAAAUGGCACUCUUAGAAGAUAACAGCAAUGGAGAACAGCUUAAAUGCAAUUUCUUAAUUGAAACGUAAUAUGAAUGAUUUAAUUGACCAUGAGUAAGGACAUUUCUUCAUACCACAUGCUUUCACUUACAACUCCCAUUAGUCUUAUCCAAUAUGGUCAGUGGUAAAGGGCUGUGACAGUUGCAAUCCAAAACAU
rnacentral:lncRNA from 1 species